rnacentral:pre_miRNA from 1 species
AGUAGGAUGGCUAGAUUGUAUAGUAAGUGUAUCUUUAAGAAACUGCCAAACUGUUUUUUAAAGUAGUUGAACUAUUUUCACUCCAAACAGCAGU